CAGCUUCCUCACCAGGCGAUCCUGGGACUGAGCACCAGGAGAGAGCGGGCUCCUCCCAGACAAUGUGGGGUUAAACUCCUCCUUCAGGCGGACACCGAGAGGGGGAUGGCCGCACAACAUGGAACACAGGCGGAUUAAGAUAAGUCAUUACAGGAGAGGAGAGGGGGAGCAGCAGACAGCAGGGAGGGGAGGCGGCUCAGCUCCUGAUUACUGAAGUGUUCUGGUUGGAUUAACUGGAUCAUCUCAACCAGUGGAGGAGACAAUUGGAAGCAUGCUUCGUUUUUCGCUCAAAAAUCAAAAGCGACGGAAUGGAAGAAGCCAGCGGCAAAAUAAACUUCUCAUAUUUUGCUGAGUAAGCACUUUCUCCAUCUGUGGCAGCUGGGACCCUGGCAGCACAAGGUGGAGGGGGGUAACUAACAUCUACACCCGCCCUCUGCUUCUCCUUUACGCUCAUUCCUCUUAUUUUAUUUGCAAACGUAAGCACCAGGUGUUAGCAUUAUGUUUUUAAUAGAGUUCUGGGUGUCAUUUAUGUGGAGUCGGCAAAUAUUCUUACUUGUGAAAUAAAAAAAUGUGUAUAUUUUAAGGAUUUGUUACCUACUCCACUCAUUUUUUUAAUCUAUUUUAAUAUCAUUUCCACCAUUUAUUUUUUUUUUUCAAGAUUAUGCUGUUUUUAGACAAAAAUGUAUUAAAAAAAAGUCGACAGUUUAUGAAGAGCAGACGCAGAUCAUUAGAAAUUCCCCUCUAAGUUGUGGGCGGGACUUUUGGAGCAAAUUAACCCCGCCCCCUUUUCCCCUUCUUGUUGCUGAGAGCUCGGAGCAGGGAGCUUGUGGCCCGCCCACUG